GAUCAUUGAUGCACGAGUGAAGUAGAAAAAAGCAAGUACUACCGUUUUCCAAUUGGAAACGGUUAACUGUCCCACUGCUAUAUUCUCGACUAAAUUGUUUUCCUCUCUUUCACACUUGGUGAUCGUGUGGAAACGUGGCAUCAAAGUAUGAGUAUUGGCAGAAGUUGAUAUGAUUUAUUCCAUUAUUUGUAGGAACCGAAGAAGUGUUCGUGAUUCUGAUUUCGCAACGGUUGCUGUCUGCAAUGGUGAAUAAUUUUAAUAUUUUGUCAUCAGAUUUUGGUACAGGUGUUUUUGAGCAGAUUAUGUGAACUGCUGUUGUAUAAGAAAGAUGACAGGCAAUUUGAUUGUAUCCGUUCUCGUUAGAAUGUGAUACUGUUUUCUUAACGUCUUAAAAUUUAUCUACCUUUUAGUCGGUCCCAAUAGAUUUCAUUAAGUUAGAUAUAUUCUCUAAAUUUGCCAUUUAUAGGAUUUGAAUAAGCGAUAACGACCACGUAGUGAUCUACAAUAUUUCAAUAAGCUAAGUGAAACUGUGACAUCAAAAUUUGAAACAGUGCAUCUUUAGUAGAAUGAAUACGUACCUAAUGCAUAAAUCACAGUAGCAGCUAAAAUCAUGACCUAAAUCCAAGCAACCGUCAAUCGCAAGCAGCAACAACUGGAGCGUUGCAUAUUUAUAACUACAAUUGAUGUUUACCCGUGUCCAACAUACCGCUAUAAUCGUCAGAACACAAGCGAUUGGUUGAACUUGACACUCGGUGCUGUUUUCUGCGAACCCUUCCUAAUCAAUUCAUUAUCAUCUCCCGAGAGCAGUGAUUAGUCAUUACUCUUGUAAAUGUUCGCUAAUCGAAUUAAGACAAGUUAAAGCGAAAUACAUAAUUACAAUGUUAGGAAAAUAUAUUGCGAACAACUGACACACGUUCAAGUACAAGAGUAUGUCGUAUGCGACGCUGUCGGAAGUUCGAUUAGCAUGAAGAAAAAGAACAAGAAACCCGCCUACUGUUAGUUUAAAGCUCGUGCCACGGGACGACGAUUGAUCACUGCAUUCGUGUGCAAUACUAUGAGCUAAGCAAACCGGCAAUCAUAGUUUACUGCGGUGCUGACUUCAUCUUUUUGUAGAUUGAUACUAGCAAGGUUAUCAUCGCUAUGCGUGAUACAGUAAGUGAUUAUUUUUGAAUCUUUUUUUCAGAAAAAUGGUUAGAACCGUACACCCUACAGUAAGCUCAACAAAACUAGAGAUGUUUCGGAAUUUUACGUAAUAAAUAUAUCAGCAUAAUCAGAUUCUCACCCCUUGAAACGGGUGUUUCUAAAAACAGGAGAGCACUGUACAUGUUAAAGUGCUAUAAUAUAUAAUGAAUAAACAUAUACAGUCCAUUACCUCUUACUAUAUAGUUUGCAAUUUUGGAACAAUAUUUAUCUUUUAGAGGAAAGCUAUCGAUUACAUUUAUAAAACGAACAAAGCGGCGCACAAGAACGUCUGCACCGGAACUUUAAUGUCUCACCAAGCCGAUGGUUAUGUCGUAAAACUUGGUCAACGACUAUCAAGUAGCAAAACGGGAUUAGAAAAACAGUGAUUUGACGCGCCCACGCUCACGAAUAUGAGUAGCACUGGAAUUCACCUCAGUGUAGACAAAGCCACAGACACAGUUUGUACUGCUCCCAUAGUGUACAGGACGAUUGCGAGGCUAGCGCCACGAUGCUAUUGACUCUAACGGUCUCUCCCAGCCGAGAAUCCAACAUGCGACGACUGGUUUGUUAGGCUAGCAUCGUACCUCGAGACCAACUGGAAGUGGUUAUCGGAUGUUAUUUGACAAGCGCGUGCAAUAAUCUAAGACAUUAUCUAAGACUGGUGGAAAUAUUUAUAACGCCACCAUCUAUAUGUGUCUGACUUCAACAUUAUUUAAAAUAACUGUUAACCAGGUUAACACUUGCGUACCCGACCCCUCCGGAGCCGAAAAAAUGAGAAUUCUUUUACCUGCCAUUUUGCAAGAUCUGAACCGAUUUUGAUCGAACCUUUUUCGAAAGAUCACAAAUUUAUCAUAGUUUUUAAAACAGCAAGGGACAUUUCGAAAUUUUUCGAAAGUACCC